AUGUUGUACAACCCAGAGGUUCUUUGCUGGAACGUGCGCGGACUCAACAACCCCGUGAAGAAGAAGGCCGUGAGGGAGUUUAUCACCUCGGUGAAAGUCAAUUUGGUGUGUUUACAGGAGACAAAACUUGAUGUUAUUGAUCAGUACGUAGUAAUGCAAUGUGUUGGUCCGUCCUUUGACGGUUUUGCUUAUUUGCCGGCGGAGGAGACUCGUGGUGGUAUCCUUCUCGCUUGGGACUCGACGGUGAUUGCAAUUGAUCACAUUCAGCUAGACGCCAACUCUGUUUCGGGUUUGGUGACCAAUAAGGAUGGGGAGCAAUGGUGGAUUACGGUGGUGUACGCGCCGCAGGGCGAUGAGCUUAAAACGCAAUUCCUCUUGGACCUUUACUCCCGAAGAACGCUUUGCCCUGGGCCGUGGAUGGUGCUAGGCGAUUUUAACAUGAUCCUACGGGCAUCGGAGAAAAGCUAUGAUCAUAUUAAUCGUGCGAUGAUGAACAGAUUUCGUAGUUUCGUGGAUGACCAUGAAUUGAAGGAGCUCUAUAUGCAUGGGCGGAUGUUUACUUGGUCUAACAAGAGAAAUGCCCCCACCUUCACUAAGAUAGACCGGGUGUUGGUGUCGGUCGAGUGGGAGUUGUCGCACCCAGAUCACCUGCUCCAAGCCCUCUCCACGGGUGUUUCUAACCACGCUCCCUUGCACCUGUCGACAAACGCUCUUCUUCAUCAUAAGAAGCGAUUUCGGUUUGAGAUCUUCUGGACCAAUUUGGAAGGAUUCAACGAGGCGAUUAGGGAGGGCUGGACCUGA
rnacentral:rRNA from 1 species